GCCCGCUUGGCUCAGUGGUAGAGCGUCUGUCUCGUAAACAGAAGAUCGGUGGUUCGAAUCCGCCAGUGGGCA